GUCUCAGCGUUGGAGAUGGGUUCGUGCAGAGCAGAGCAAUGUUCAACAUCCUCUUCGCUUCUUUCUUGGAGAAGUUUGUGCCGAGAUCCAUGUCCACAAGCUCUAGGAGAUUCCCUUGCUCUUGCAAGACGUAAGCCCAAUCAAGAAGGUACACAAACUCUUCCUUUGGUCUGUAGUUUGUGUUGCUCUUCCCGCUUACAAUCUCUAAACAGACAACUCCGAAGCUGUAGACGUCAGCUUUGUCUGUUAAGUAGCCUCUCAUUGCAUACUCUGGAGCCAUGUAGCCUCUGCGUCAACCAAAACAACAAAAGUUGGUGCAUGCUAAAUAAGACAAAAAAAGUAUAAGACUUGCCAUGAGUUUAAGAACACUCACAUUGUUCCUGCGAUCCUUGUGCUGAUAUGUGUGUUCUCUUCUUCGUCGAGUUUAGCAAGACCAAAGUCAGAGAUCUUAGCGUUUAGAGACUGAUCAAGAAGCACAUUCGUCGCUUUUAUGUCUCUGUGGACAAUCUUCAGCCUUGACUCCUCGUGUAGAUAAGCUAGCCCUUUAGCAAUCCCUAUGCAUAUCUUGUUCCUUGUUGCCCAAUCCAAGUGAAGUCUUUGUUUCUCUGAACCUGUUUAAGGCUGAAUUCAUAUCAAACUAGAUGAGGAAAUAUGCGCCAAUUAAAACUUUCAUUCUACAGAGUCCUCUCGCUUUAGAGUUCCAUUUUUUUUAAUCUAUCAAUCAGCCAAAGUGAAGCGUUUAGACAACUAUAGGAUUAAGAACUAAUUGAAGUCACCAAUCAAAAGACACAGAUUUUAAUUAAAUUCAUUCUAACUGCUGCAAAUUCGAUUCAUAUCAAACUAGAUAAAGAAUCAUGCUCUAACUGGAAACUUUAAUCCUCCAAAAACCUCUCUAUUUAGAGUUCUAUUUUUGAGUAUAUCCACACCACGAGUCAGAAGCCAAACAGGAAAAGUAAACUCGUUGAGAUUAUCAAAUCAAAGAGUACUAACAACACAGAUCUGUCAAGCUUCAGUAUAGGAUGCAGGUUUAAUAGGAAUCGCAAACGUACAAAACUUACGAUUGCUGUGAUAAUCGUUACUGAUCGAUCACGACGAGAUAAAGCGAUUUUUCAGGACGGUAAACCUAGAAAGUUCUGAAGAGAUCUACAAAACACACAGCGAAGUAGAGAUUACGGACGCGAUUAAGAAGAUGUGAACACAGAUUAGGGUUUCAACAUCACAAUGAUCAACCUCGAAGAUGCAUAACGGAGACAUUAUAAGGUUCACUGAUUUGAAACUUACCUGCGAUUCCGAGAGAGAGAGGGAGAGCGAGGAAGAACAACGAUGGAGGAACGGAAUCUGUAGAAGACCACAAAAAGAACAAUCAAUCAAAGGAUCUCGAAACUAAAGAAUCGGAGAAGAAGUAGAUACGAAUUCGAGAGAAGACGCAAGGAUCUGUUACCUCUUUCUGUUGGGUCGUGAAACCGAGAUUUUAAAAUAUUUUCUGAAAUAAUUAGCAGUAGAGACAAUGAGUUUAAUUAGCCGUUGAGAAGCCUGGCUAAGUUAUACUAUAUGGGCUCAUUAAGUUCAUUUAAAAGGCCCAACAACGAGUCUUCGUAAGUUUAUUGUUUAUCCCACAUCGGUUAUCGAAGAAGCUGGAGCUGAGUUUAUAUACCGACGGAGUCACGAAGGUGAUUGUCCCUUCGGGGACAUCCGAUAAAAUUGGAACGAUACAGAGAAGAUUAGCAUGGCCCCUGCGCAAGGAUGACACGCACAAAUCGAGAAAUGGUCCAAAUUUUUUUCGUUCUUUUUUUUCUUUCUGAUUUGUUGUUGUUCAAUCGAAUUUUCGUUUUCUGGAGUUGUUGUAGUUCAUGUUUUCGAUGAACAUCUCUGCAAAUCAUGAAACUUAUGUUCUCAUAUGAAACACAAUGCUUGGGGCUUCGAAAUUAGUGAAUCUAAAACCCUAAUUUUGGGUGUUUUUGUUGAUGGUUCAUGUAAUUUGAUUUUGCAUAAUAUACCGGCGAAAUUGACGACGCUCAUCGUUGCUACACCGGUGAUCGGAAACCUAAUUCCCAAUUUUUCAGUUUGACAACAAUUGAAGUUUGUUAACCAGCUUCCCGGUACAAAUUAAAGUGAACCGGAUAUCGAUUGGUUAUACAUCUGCUGGUUUUGGAGAAUCGGUUCCUCCUAAACCCUUGACGAGUCUCCAUCAUCUAGACAAGGUCCCGAUGCUUCAACGGAGAUGUCUUAUUGAUUCAAACUAUCAAUCAGUGAAUCUGCUAAUUUUCACGUAUCUUGUUCGUUUCUCAAGCUUAUCCUCUUGAAGCCGUGGCAAUUAAAUCAUUUCUCCAAAUUCUUUAAUUAAAGUUUUUUAUUUUUUGUGCAACAAUUAAAGUUAUUCUCCAAAUUCUUUAAUUAAAGUUAUCUCAAAAGGACUAAACCAGAUAGUUGAAACUUAACCAAUGAAUGGAAUUAGAAACCUUGAAUGCUUACUUAACCAACCAACUUGGCCCAAAAAGCUUUAUAAAGCCCAAUAGAUUGAAGAAUCGGGUGAGCUUUCUAAUGAAGAAGACGCGCAUGUGGUAAAUGAUUAGUAGAGUAGUCACGAGACAUGAAACGACAAAGAAAGUCAGUCACGGACUCUUCGUCUUCUACCUUCACACUUUCUUCCUUUAUAAUGUUUAGUUUAUAUUCUUCUCACUUUCCGAGCUUUUCCAGUGGACUUUUCUUUUACAAAAACAAUGGCGGCUCCGAUCAUACUUUCCUGUUUCCUUUUCUUAUUCUUCUUCUCUGUCUCCGUCUCUGCUCUUAACGUCGGUGUUCAGCUCACACAUCCCACCGUUUCUCUGGUUAGAUAUUUUUUUUCUCUCUGUUUUUUUUUUUUUCGUUUUGAUAUGAAUCAAAAGAUUGUUACGGAUCAUGAAUACAGAGAUAAAACUAGUUAAUAAUGGAGCCCUUUAGGAACACACAUAGAUCUGUUACAAAAAAAAAUUCUUAAUACAAACUAGAAAUUGGUAUUUGGUAUCUCCUUUGGUUUACAUCCGGUUUAAUACUGAUCAUUGAUAUUUGAAUUGUUUUGGGCAGAGCAAAGAAUGUAGCCGGAAAUGUGAAUCAGAGUUCUGUUCAGGUGAACAACCUCUAAACUAAAUAAAUAAUACUACUAAAAUUCACACACGUGACAUUUUCUUUAUUAUGGAAAAUAAUAAUAUAAUGCUUAAUAAUCUGGACAGUGCCUCCACUUUUGAGGUAUGGAAAGUACUGUGGACUAUUGUACAGUGGAUGUCCUGGAGAGAGACCCUGUGAUGGUCUUGACUCAUGUUGCAUGAAGCAUGAUGCUUGUGUCCAAUCCAAGAAUAGUAAUUAACCACAUACAUACACUCAAUUUUUCUCUAUUAUUCCAACUUUUAAUUUACAAUUUUAGCUAACCAUAAGUUGAUAUUGAUGUAGAUGAUUAUCUAAGCCAAGAGUGUAGUCAGAAGUUCAUAAACUGCAUGAACAAUUUCAGCAAUACGAAGCAACCAACGUUUAAUGGUAACACAUGCGAUCCCGAUGAAGUCAUUGAUGUCAUCUCCAUUGUCAUGGACGCCGCUCUUAUCGCCGGCAGAGUCUUCCGGAAACCCUAAAUAUGUUUUUUUUUCUUCUAUAGUUUGAGUUAAUUGUUUCUCUUGUUUUCUACUCUCACACAUUUGUCUUUGUUUUAUCUAAUGUCUUCAUUUUAUAUAUAUAUAUCUGUUUUACGGGAAAACACACUAAUACGAAGCGUACCUUUAAGAUUCUUAAGGGACUGAGGCCGUUUCAGAAAACUAGUGACAGUGUAGAUGUACAUGUACGUGAUGAUGAGAAAUAUGGUCACGAGGAAUAAAUGGCCGUUUUGGUCGAUAGAGAUAUAGAGUUUAGACAGAUCGUUACUCGCUCGUUAUCAAUCGUGUAACUGGUUUACGUAUUAAAAGGGUGUUCUUACAUGGAAAUGAUCUACACAAUCUACAAUUUACACACCAAGUGAGUUGUAUUCUGGUGAUAGGGCUUGUCACUUCCGGUUCGGUUGUUUUUGAUAAAAUUCAGAUUGAUUUCAGUUUGGUACUUUUAGUUUUCGGUUGGGAUAGUGAAGUUGAAGCACACUAAGCUUAAUGACAAGUCAUGCUUCUCUAAGCAUGAAUUAUUGUGGUGACUUAGUAAAUGAAUCUUUCUAACAAACAUACUGAGUUUUUUUCUUAUAUCAAAGUUUGCUUUACCUAUUUUCCUUUUUUAUUUUUUUAAAGAAAAGUAGCAUCUUCUUGAUACUUUUAGUCAAAGCUUGUAUCAUCAUAUCUUUUUUGUUUUUUUUUUUGUUGGUGUAUAAGUAAACUUGCAAAUGAAGUAACUCCUCCCAAAAUAGGUGUAUGGCAUGCCAUCAUAUCUACACCUAACAAUAAGCAAACAAAGAAAGGAAAAUGGAUUUUUUUAAUGAAGUGAAUUUAGUUUCUUUUUUAUAGUCUUCUGAUUUUUAGUAAUUGUUUUAUUAUCAAUACUACUAUUUAGGUGUUGCAAACACUUUUGGCUGUUCGGGCUCUUGUGUGACCUCCCACCUACUGAAGAUUUCGAAACUUGGUUUGACUCACCAACAACAGUUGGAGGUUCUUCCUGGUACAUAUUCAAUUAAACCGGAUACCGGUUUGGGUUAUAUGUCUUGGAUCUAUGCCCGUCUAUAAUUAAAUUGAAGCGAGAUCGGUUCUAAUCUCUCUCGGGUCUAGAUUCCUUCGUCAUAAUUCUUCACAAUCCAUAAUUUUCGAACGGCUCUUCUUGAUCGGCUCUAAUCGCUCGACGUAGGUACCUCCAUUGAUUCUUCAUUUAUCACCUUGCUUUUCUUUAUGUCUUUGUGUGAUGAUGAAUCGAAGACUCUUACAAGAAACUGUACUGAUCCAGUCAAAAUCAACUCAAGAAAUCGUAGACAUGACAAUUGCAAAUGAUAAGGAUUCAAUAGUAUGCAAUCUAUUUUUUUAGUUUUUAUUUUUUAUGUAAUACACAUCGAAUUUCUCUAUUCGCGAACCAAACACUGCCUUUUAUUUCAGGAAUACAAUACAAAUAGGUGAAAUACAUUGAUGGUGAGAUGGAACAAGGGUUGAAUCUGUACCCUCACAACAUUGAUGUGUCAAUUCCAUUCGUGAGUACAUUAGAAAGUCAUUAAAUGUAAAAUGAGAAAUCUUGUAUAUUUUUUUUUAAUUAGUAAAAUGUAAAUCUACUAAUAAAAUCUUUAAUUGGAUGUAGUAGAGGAUAUAUAUACAAUAAAUCAUAAAGAAGUCUCUCGGAUCCAGUUGCAUCUUCAUUCCAGUCACUAAUUUUUGGGCGGCUCUUAUUGAAGCGAGAUCGGCUCUAAUUUCUCUCAGAUCUAGAUUCAUUCGUCAUAUUUCUUCAAAGUCUAUAUAAUUUAUGAACGGCUCUUCUUGAUCAGCUUUGAUAGAGUAGGCACAUCCAUGGAUUCUACUUUUAUCUCCAUGUUUUUUUUUCUUUUUUGAUGAUGUAUCGAAAAAGUCUAUAUAUUCAUUCGUCAGAUCUAGAUUCUAAUUUCUAAUUUCUCUCAGAUCUAGAUUCAUUCGUCAUAUUUCUUCAAAGUCUAUAUAAUUUAUGAACAGCUCUUCUUGAUCAGCUUUGAUAGUUCGAAGUAGGUACAUCCAUGGUUUUUUUUUCUUUUUUGAUGAUGUAUGGAAAACUCUUACAAGAAACUGUACUUAUCUAGUCAAAAUCAAGUCAAGGAAUUGUAGACAUAGCAAUUGCAGUACCAAUCAAUUUCUUAUAGUUUUUAUUUAUUAUGUAAUGCACAUCUAAUAUCUCUAUCAGUGAACCAAACACUGUCUUUUCUUUCACAAAUACCAUACAAAUAGGAUGAAAUACAUUGAGGAUGAGAUGGAACAAGAAAUGUGUCGAUAUCCAUUAGUGAGUACAUUAGAAAGUACGGUAAUCUACAUAAUGAUGAGGUUGUCAAAGAUGUUGAUGUAUUUCUGGAAAUUGUCUUAAAUAAAACUUUGCUAGGGAAGAUAAUGAGCAAGAAACUUUUCUAGACAAUUGUAUUUCUGGAAAUUGUCUUAAAUUGAUCAAAUAUUUGAAGCUAAUUGUGAUUUUGUAGAAGAAGCUGCUCUUAGUCUCUAUGAUUCAAUUGCUCAAAGGAUUUUGUAGAAAAAAAUCGUUCUCAAUCUCUAUGAUUCAAUUGCUCAAAAUAUUCUCGACGAAUAUCCAAAAAUUGGUUACUGUUGGGAAUUUCUGACGGAGUCUGAUGGUUAUCAAUGUAGUCUUAAAAAUAUAAUAAUUUAAUAGUUAAUGGUCUCAAAAUAUUAUCAAGUCAUAAGAUGAGUGUAAAAAAAUUGGAGUAAAAACUCAAUUUUCUUAAAAAAAUAACAUCACCUAAAUCUUCUUCAAUGGGAAGUUUGAUAUGGUAAAUCUCGUUUUCUUUAGAAAGGGAUGCAUUCACUUUUGUCCAGCUUUGUGGUUAUUAGAGCUGAUACUCCUCUUGCAAGCGCUGCUCAGCCUUCUUUCUCCAUCCAGCUUAACAAUGCUUUCGCCUCAUGUUACUAAAGUUGUAUGUAGUAAUAAAACUACAAAUCAAAUUCUCUAAUCCAAAAGAAAUACAUAAUGGCAUUAACAAAACUGAAAGAAGGUCUCUAAUGGCAACUAAAAUCAAACUCUGUAAUCAAAAAGAGAAUUACACAAUAGCAUUAAUAAAACUGAAAAUUUUUGAAAUCUUGAUUAAACAACAACAAAAUAAUCUAUACAGUUCUUUGUUUCAUCCAACAGUUUCCAUGACAAAUAUAAUUAACGUUCUCCUUGUUCCAAGCUAGCUUCUUGGCUCUUGAGUUCUUUACUCAACCUUCACCUCGGUAAGCUCAUCUAAAAGUUUCCUUGACGAUGAUGACGAACGUUCUUCUUCUUCCUCUUGUUUCACGUUACCAUCUUUGCCAGGCGCAGAGAAAGAAGAGUCAACCCAAGGACCAUCCAUCGACGACGAGCUUUUCUGUUCUCUAUCCCUUUCAAAGGUAGAAGCCUGUGACUCGCUGUCCUGUGAUAAAAGCUCAAACGCCCUAAACCUCAUCGCAGCUGCACCAGUUGGAUCAGCUUCACGUUUCACCAACGGUGGUUCCACUUUGAUUUUUCCUUCCAACAUACUCACAACAGAUGACAUUGGUGGUCUCAGCGUUGGAGAUGGGUUCGUGCAGAGCAGAGCAAUGUUCAACAUCCUCUUCGCUUCUUUCUUGGAGAAGUUUGUGCCGAGAUCCAUGUCCACAAGCUCUAGGAGAUUCCCUUGCUCUUGCAAGACGUAAGCCCAAUCAAGAAGGUACACAAACUCUUCCUUUGGUCUGUAGUUUGUGUUGCUCUUCCCGCUUACAAUCUCUAAACAGACAACUCCGAAGCUGUAGACGUCAGCUUUGUCUGUUAAGUAGCCUCUCAUUGCAUACUCUGGAGCCAUGUAGCCUCUGCG
rnacentral:lncRNA from 1 species